rnacentral:rRNA from 1 species
GACGAACGCUGGCGGCGUGCUUAACACAUGCAAGUCGAACGGAAAGGCCCUGCUUUUGUGGGGUGCUCGAGUGGCGAACGGGUGAGUAACACGUGAGUAACCUGCCCUUGACUUUGGGAUAACUUCAGGAAACUGGGGCUAAUACCGGAUAGGAGCUCCUGCUGCAUGGUGGGGGUUGGAAAGUUUCGGCGGUUGGGGAUGGACUCGCGGCUUAUCAGCUUGUUGGUGGGGUAGUGGCUUACCAAGGCUUUGACGGGUAGCCGGCCUGAGAGGGUGACCGGCCACAUUGGGACUGAGAUACAGCCCAGACUCCUACGGGAGGCAGCAGUGGGGAAUAUUGCACAAUGGGCGGAAGCCUAAUGCAGCAACGCCGCGUGCGGGAUGACGGCCUUCGGGUUGUAAACCGCUUUCGCCUGUGACGAAGCGUGAGUGACGGUAAUGGGUAAAGAAGCACCGGCUAACUACGUG